CUGUUANCUCUUUUACUCUCUCUUUACUCUUCCUCACUCUGUCAUCUCUUUACCACGCUCUUGCCUUCUUUCUCUUUACCUCUCUCUCCUCUCAGGCCUGCUCUGAGCUGUGGCUGGCAGCUCCCAGCAGGGCCCUUUGCAAUAACCCCCAAAUUCCACGCCCUGGCUGCAGAGAUCUCUCAUCUCCGUCCAUCCCAACACUCCAACAGGUGGCUCCUGUGGGGUUUGUGCUGCUGAGCCACAGCUGCUGAGUCCACUCUGUGUCCCCUCUCCCAGGUGUCCCGACGGUCAAGUGGUGCUGAAGCCCUGCACACCCACGAGUGACCUGGAGUGUGGUCCUGACACAGCCACCUUCCCCUCCUGGAUUGUGAUUGUGAUUUUGAUUGUGAUCGGGAUUGGGAUUGGAACUGCUCUCUGCUGCUGGAAACAACCCUGCAGCUCCCCAGGGGAUGAGAGCCCC
rnacentral:lncRNA from 1 species